UAAGGAAUAUUGGACAAUGGAGGCAACUCUGAUCCAGCCAUGCCGCGUGAAGGAAUAAGGCCCUAUGGGUUGUAAACUUCUUUUAGACGGGACAAAACCCCUUUACGUGUAAAGGGUUGAUGGUACUGUCAGAAUAAGCAUCGGCUAACUUCGUGCCAGCAGCCGCGGUAAUACGAAGGAUGCAAGCGUUAUCCGGAAUUAUUGGGUUUAAAGGGUGCGUAGGCGGACUAAUAAGUCAGUGGUGAAAGCCUGCAGCUUAACUGCAGAAUUGCCAUUGAUACUGUUAGGCUUAAGUACAGUUGAGGUAGGCGGAAUGUGUCAUGUAGCGGUGAAAUGCUUAGAUAUGACACAGAACACCGAUUGCGAAGGCAGCUUGCUAAGCUGUAACUGACGCUGAGGCACGAAAGCGUGGGGAGCAAACA
rnacentral:rRNA from 1 species